CAUGCUUCAAUAGCAUCAAGAUCAUGUGAAAGAUGAGCCGCGAGUCUGAGGAUGUAUUGUGAGAAACCCGUGAAAUCUGUUCUUAUUACUCCAUUUACUCCAUUGAUUCAAAUGGCAGCACCUGCGGAAGCUUGCUAGUGAGGGGCCUUGCAGAUGUCCACUCUGAUCAUGAAGUUGAUAUUUCUACCUGCUCGAGCACUGAUGUUUUUCUGCAGAGUUUUCAGCAAGGACAAUUGCUGGAGGGCCCUGACAGCAGCAUCCUCAGGCAAGCAGCUCUUCUGUGCACCUGAAACAUCCUACACGAGGGACAUUUGGGGUUGCCCCUUCCCCCGCAGAUCAAAUCAUGCUGGUGAAUUUCCAGCCACACAAGGACAAGAAAGAUUAUUUUGUGUUGUGGAAGAAAAACAGAAGUAAAAGGCUAAGUUGACUUAGACUCAAAGAACUGAAAAGAAAGCAGAUCCUGUACACCGGAGACUUAGAUUGUCCUAAAAAGUGGAUAAAUGGGGUCCAGUAAGUGAGUCCUUUUUUUUUUUUUUUUUUUUUUUUUUUAAUGUUUCCUGAAGAUACCUUCAGGGGAAGGUGUAAUUUCCCUCUUAUCAUGGAGUCAAGUCUCGUUGAAGUAGGUGAGAAAAUUUGCUGAAUCACACCCAGAGGGUAUCAAUGCCACAGUUUGACUGAAAAACUGGCCUUAGAAGAUGAGAAGACUAGUGCCUUUCUGUGAAGAAUGGCUCUGUUCUGAUUCAUGGGUAAUGACCAAGCCAUGAGCAGCUGAGACACAGCAGACCCGUAUGGCAGAUUCUCUGAACUUUACCUGAGGGCUGAAGUCAGAAGAAAUGCCCUAAGGCAUUCAUUGGCAAAAAAGUUGAAGAACAGCCUUCUGUGAUGAAUAAAUGUGAAUGUUCGAGAAUUUUACUAUUUUUUUUCUUGCUUCAUUAUUAUUUUGAUGCUUCUUUUUUUCUUGUGAUCGCUUCAAGGAGAGUUCUUUCCUAUCAGAAGUUCACCAGAGAUGCUCUGACAUCACUUCCCAUUUCGCUCUGGAAUCUAAUAAUGAGCAACAGAGUUCAAUCAUGGAUAAGUUAAUAAUCACAGGAGUGGAGAUGUCCAACAGAAAUGAGCUCCACAGGUCCAGCUGUCAACAGGAAACAGCUGUUUCACAUGUGUUCCCACAGUGAUAAUUCUGAGGUACAAACAGGCCUGUCAGUCUUGAAACUGUUUUCAUGGCUUUAUGUGUUGUAAAUGUGCAGUAGACUGUGGGUGUACAUGUGGGCAACACAGAAACUAGUAGAACAGAGGUCAGAACAGGUGGUAUGAUACACUCAGACAUGAACUGUCCAGUAGAAGUAGGGCCCACACAAGUCAGCAGUGCCUCAAGAAAAUGGUGUAGGCCUAUUUGAGAUACGGCUGCAAUAUCAGACUGCCCCAAAUAUGCAGUAACCUUCUAUCACCACUGCUAGACCUACUGUCUAGAUCAAUGAUGUACAGUGGAAAAUAGGUCAUCUAAAUUUCUCUCACAUGUCUAAAUUAUCCUUGUUGUGGAGCUUACCAUAUUAUAUAGCUGGUGAGAUAUUUGGCCCUGAAUGCAAUUUAUUUCCUUGCUUGCUUGCUACCUUGUGAUAUUACUCCCACAUUUUUCCAGUAUGUCAGAACUCUGUGAUACCUCUCCUUGCUCCUAGCUUUUAUAUAACAUUAUUUUGUGUAGUUCAUCCAAUCCACCUAACAAAGUAUGUAACCUUUUUACUUUGAUAAGCACCAUGUGAGUGAUACAAAAACCCAGUCCUGUUAUUUCACUCGUGUUUUAAAGGAGAUUUAUUGUCUGUUGGCAUAAAUAGCUGUUCUUGCCCUUGAUUUGUUGCCUUGUGUUUAAAAUGGGGAUAAGAUAGGUUAAGAUUCUUCUUUACUUCACAGCAGUUUUUCAAGGUUAAUGUAAUUAAUAUGUCCUAACUAUUGUCUGGAAGGUGUGAAGAAAAUGGCAGGGUCUUAUCACUACUGCAAGUGAAAUGUCUGCUGCCUAAUAAAUAUCUACAACAGCACAACUGGAGCCAUCAGAGGAAAUUUUUCUACUGACUUGAAUUCAGCC
rnacentral:lncRNA from 1 species